rnacentral:rRNA from 1 species
CACGUAGGGCGCAAGCGUUUGUCCGGAAUUAUUGGGCGUAAAGAGCUCGUAGGUGGUUUGUUACGUCUGCUGUGAAAACCUAGGGCUUAACCCUGGGCUUGCAGUGGAUACGGGCAGACUAGAGGUAGGUAGGGGAGAAUGGAAUUCCUGGUGUAGCGGUGAAAUGCGCAGAUAUCAGGAGGAACACCGGUGGCGAAGGCGGUUCUCUGGGCCUUACCUGACGCUGAGGAGCGAAAGCGUGGGGAGCGAACAGG